UACGUAGGGGGCAAGCGUUGUCCGGAAUUAUUGGGCGUAAAGAGCGUGUAGGCGGUCCGGUAAGUCCGCUGUGAAAGUCGGGGGCUCAACCCUCGAAUGCCGGUGGAUACUGUCGGGCUAGAGUACGGAAGAGGCGAGUGGAAUUCCAGGUGUAGCGGUGAAAUGCGUAGAUAUCUGGAGGAACACCGGUGGCGAAGGCGGCGUUCUGGACUGCAACUGACACUGAGGAACGAAAGCCAGGGGAGCAAACGGG
rnacentral:rRNA from 1 species